GAAACUGAGGCCCCAGGACCCCCAGAGCUAGAGGCUGAACCUGGCAUGAACCCAAGAGCUCUAGGCAACCAAAUCUGUUCUCUUCCCUUCAAGGGCCUCCCUGCAGGAUUAUGAGAAGCCAAGAUGGUAAAGAGAUAUUUGUAGUUGCCAUCUGGAGAUUCUUUUGGGCAACAUCAUGAUCUCCUGGAAAGAGAGGUUCAGCUGGAACUUGAGGCACUGGGCAACUCUCUGGACGUCAGUGGCAAGCCCGGCCAGACCGAUGUACAACCAACCACCCAUGGGAAAGAUCUCCUGGAAGUCCGUGGUCACCAUCUGGGCCUGGAUCCCGAAGUGCCUGUCUGCAGCGAUGGCCACACGGUUCUUCCCCUUCAUGGCCAUGAUGGCUCCUCCGUUAUAGGACAUAAUAGACAUGAUUGUGUGGUAUACGAGGACCCCUCCAUUGCCGGAGCAAUUCCAGUAAACCGGGUCUAGCCUUCACUCCUGCCCAUCAUUUCUGACAUUUAGACUCUACAUAGAGGGUCCUGAGAUUCCAGGCCUUUACUCAUCCUGCAUCCCCUACCUACUUGGAUGAAUAUUAAUAUUUACAAUAACAGAGAAAAGUUCUCCAGAAUGUCUGGGAGGUGAAAGAAGUUAAAUAAAUGGAAAGUGUUGUUA
rnacentral:lncRNA from 1 species